rnacentral:rRNA from 1 species
AAUAGAUACCCCGGUAGUCCACGCCGUAAACGAUGAGUGCUAAGUGUUGGGGGGUUUCCGCCCCUCAGUGCUGCAGCUAACGCAUUAAGCACUCCGCCUGGGGAGUACGGUCGCAAGACUGAAACUCAAAGGAAUUGACGGGGGCCCGCACAAGCGGUGGAGCAUGUGGUUUAAUUCGAAGCAACGCGAAGAACCUUACCAGGUCUUGACAUCCCGGUGACCACUAUGGAGACAUAGUUUCCCCUUCGGGGGCAACGGUGACAGGUGGUGCAUGGUUGUCGUCAGCUCGUGUCGUGAGAUGUUGGGUUAAGUCCCGCAACGAGCGCAACCCUUAUUCUUAGUUGCCAUCAUUCAGUUGGGCACUCUAAGGGGACUGCCGGUGAUAAACCGGAGGAAGGUGGGGAUGACGUCAAAUCAUCAUGCCCCUUAUGACCUGGGCUACACACGUGCUACAAUGGACGGUACAAACGGUUGCCAACCCGCGAGGGGGAGCUAAUCCGAUAAAACCGUUCUCAGUUCGGAUUGUAGGCUGCAACUCGCCUACAUGAAGGCC